CUCGUGUCGUGAGAUGUUGGGUUAAGUCCCGCAACGAGCGCAACCCCUACGUUUAGUUGCUAACGCGUGAAGGCGAGCACUCUAGACGAACUGCCGUUGACAAACGGAGGAAGGUGGGAUGACGUCAAAUCAUCAUGCCCCUUAUGUUCUGGGCUACACACGUGCUACAAUGGCCGGUACAGACGGACGCAAAGCCGCGAGGUGGAGCAAAUCCUAAAAAGCCGGUCUCAGUUCAGAUUGCAGGCUGCAACCCGCCUGCAUGAAGAUGGAGUUGCUAGUAACCGCAGGUCAGCUAUACUGCGGUGAAUACGGUUCCCGGGGCUU
rnacentral:rRNA from 1 species